rnacentral:rRNA from 1 species
ACGAACGCUGGCGGCGUGCUUAACCCAUGCAAGUCGCACGGAAAGGCCCUGCUUUUGUGGGGUGCUCGAGUGGCGAACGGGUGAGUAACACGUGAGUAACCUGCCCUUGACUUUGGGAUAACUUCAGGAAACUGGGGCUAAUACCGGAUAGGAGCUCCUGCUGCAUGGUGGGGGUUGGAAAGUUUCGGCGGUUGGGGAUGGACUCGCGGCUUAUCAGCUUGUUGGUGGGGUAGUGGCUUACCAAGGCUUUGACGGGUAGCCGGCCUGAGAGGGUGACCGGCCACAUUGGGACUGAGAUACGGCCCAGACUCCUACGGGAGGCAGCAGUGGGGAAUAUUGCACAAUGGGCGGAAGCCUGAUGCAGCAACGCCGCGUGCGGGAUGACGGCCCUCGGGUUGUAAACCGCUUUCGCCUGUGACGAAGCGUGAGUGACGGUAAUGGGUAAAGAAGCACCGGCUAACUACGUG